CGGGGGGGGCGCAAGCGUUGUUCGGAAUCAUUGGGGGGCGUAAAGCGCGUGUAGGGCUGUCCGAUCAGUCGGGUGUGAAAUCCCGGGGCCCAACCCCGGAACUGCACUCGAUACUGUCGGACUGGAGUCCCGGAGGGGAGAGCGGAAUUCCCGGUGUAGAGGUGAAAUUCGUAGAUAUCGGGAGGAACACCAGUGGCGAAGGCGGCUCUCUGGACGGUGACUGACGCUGAGACGCGAAAGCGUGGGGAGCAAACAGGAUUAGAUACCCUGGUAGUCCACGCCGUAAACGUUGGGUGCUAGGCGUCGGGGGUAUUGACCCCUUCGGUGCCGUAGUUAACGCAUUAAGCACCCCGCCUGGGGAGUACGGUCGCAAGACUA
rnacentral:rRNA from 1 species